rnacentral:rRNA from 1 species
GAUGAACGCUGGCGGUGUGCCUAAUACAUGCAAGUCGAGCGAACAGACGAGGAGCUUGCUCCUCUGACGUUAGCGGCGGACGGGUGAGUAACACGUGGAUAACCUACCUAUAAGACUGGGAUAACUUCGUGAAACCGGAGCUAAUACCGGAUAAUAUAUUGAACCGCAUGGUUCAAUAGUGAAAGACGGUUUUGCUGUCACUUAUAGAUGGAUCCGCGCCGCAUUAGCUAGUUGGUAAGGUAACGGCUUACCAAGGCAACGAUGCGUAGCCGACCUGAGAGGGUGAUCGGCCACACUGGAACUGAGACACGGUCCAGACUCCUACGGGAGGCAGCAGUAGGGAAUCUUCCACAAUGGGCGAAAGCCUGACGGAGCAACGCCGCGUGAGUGAUGAAGGUCUUCGGAUCGUAAAACUCUGUUAUUAGGGAAGAACAAAUGUGUAAGUAACUAUGCACGUCUUGACGGUACCUAAUCAGAAAGCCACGGCUAACUACGUG